CAGAGUAUGCUUACAUAUUCCUCUGGGAUGAAGAUCUUGGAGUCGAAAAUUUCCAUGCUGGACGGUAAUUAUAGGGCUAAAAAGAUAUAUCUUCAUACUAAGAGCCAUUGAUGUCAACCAGAAAAAUAAUCUCCACCUGCAGAUAUUUAUCAAUAAUAAAAGAAGAAGGUCUUCAGAUAUCACAACCAGCAAUCGAUGCAGAUAUUUCAGAAAUUCACCACAAACUUACAGCACGAGAAGAGGGAUCAAGAGUGCACAGGUAUUAUUACUUUCAUGAUCAGUGACUGGUUUAUCAGUAAUAAGUUGGAUCUUCUUGAAAGGAUGUACUCUUAUG
rnacentral:lncRNA from 1 species